AGCUCCAAGUCGAAAGGAAGCGACGCAUGAGUUGUUUGGUGCGGUGGGUAGAUACCUCGAGUUUCUCCUCGCCCACCGUAGGCCCCGACCCCUAAAAAGGAAACUUUUGGGACGUCAGAGUGAGAGGAGAAAAGUGUCUUUUUAGUUUAGUUUUGUCAAACCUGAGGAUUCGUUUUUCAGUUUAGCCGGAGCUGUGCCGCAAACGUAGCUGCCGACAUCCCCACGACGCACCCAAGUGGUGGCCCGGAAGCUGGGGAUAGAAAAGUGGCCUCCCCGAAUGCCAGGCACACAGGCCUUACUACCAGAAGCUUGAGCUGGGAGCCUCGGCCGUCGCAUCUCUAAGAAUUUUAAACGGAAGAACGCAGAAGAAUUCUCUUUAUGUUACCUUUAUUUAGCAACAAAUCAACUUGACUCAACUGAUACUUACUGAGUGCCUUUAAAGGUAAGUGAAUAAAAGUCUACCCCUUGUAAAUCCACUUCAAGGAAUUUGUAAUCAAAUAUUGAUGUUUGAGGAUAAUGGGCCUUCCUGUUACUUCUUAGUACUAACCUAGCUUACACUCUACUUUCCUCCCUAAAGUUUACGCAAACUUUACAAACCUAUUAAAAUCCCAUUCCUUCUGUGAAAGAACUGCUCUCUCCUUCCUUGAAUUCCUAUAGCAUAUUAAUUAAUCACAUACUUAUUUGUAAUAUCUUCUCUUGAACUAUUUAACUUCCUGCUCUUCCUACCUAGAUUGUUUCUC
rnacentral:lncRNA from 1 species